rnacentral:rRNA from 1 species
CCUACGGGAGACUGCAGUAGGGAAUCUUUCACAAUGGGCGAAAGCCUGAUGGAGCAACGCCGCGUGCAGGAUGAAGGCCUUCGGGUUGUAAACUGCUUUUAUAAGCGAGAAAUAUGAUGGUAACUUAUGAAUAAGGAUCGGCUAACUACGUGCCAGCAGCCGCGGUCAUACGUAGGAUCCGAGCAUUAUCCGGAGUGACUGGGUGUAAAGAGUUGCGUAGGUGGCAUAAUAAGUAGCUAGUAAAAUCUGGUGGCUCAACCAUUCAGACUAUUAGCUAAACUGUUAAGCUCGAGACCGUUAGGGGUAACUGGAAUGUCUAGUGUAGGAGUGAAAUCCGUAGAUAUUAGAAGGAACACCAAUAGCGUAGGCAGGUUGCUGGGACGGUUCUGACACUAAGGCACGAAAGCGUAGGGAGCAAACGGGAUUAGAUACCCUAGUAGUC